GGACAUUAGACAACACUCUCUGAGCCAGACCAACAUGGAGGAGGACAUUAGACAACAGUAGUCGUUCUCUGAGCCAGACCAACAUGAAGGAGGACAUUAGACAACACUCUCUGAGCCAGACCAACAUGAAAGAGGACAUUAGACAACACUCUCUGAGCCAGACCAACAUGAAGGAGGACAUUAGACAACACUCUCUGAGCCAGACCAACAGAAGGAUGACAUUAGACAACAGUAGUCGUUCUCUGAGCCAGACCUACAUGAACAGACAAAGCUGUGUGUCUUAAAAUAUAUAUCAUAUACUGGCAAUUAAAGUGUGUUCAUUCUCUACACACAAGAACCCGGGGUUCCCCAAACAGGCUUAGACAAGUUCUGCCCUAACCCGGGUUCCCCAAACAGGCUUAUACAAGUUCUGCCCCCAACCCAGGGUUCCCCAAACAGGCUUAGACAAGUUCUACAUGACUCACGGGACUUGGCAUCUACAGAAGAGACCGUCUGAAAACAACACUGUUCUCUGUCUGCGGGUACAUGUUCAGUAACUAGUACAUGUUCAGUAACUAGUACAUAUUCAGUAACUAGUACAUGUUCAGUAACUAGUACAUGUUCAGUAACUAGUACAUGUUCAGUAACUAGCACAUGUUCAGUAACUAGCACAUGUUCAGUAACUAGCACAUGUUCAGUAACUAGCACAUGUUCAGUAACUAGCACAUGUUCAGUAACUAGCACAUGUUUAGUAACUAGUCCAUGUUCAGUAACUAGUACAUGUUCAGUAACUAGUACAUGUUCAGUAACUAGUACAUGUUCAGUAACUAGCACAUGUUCAG